rnacentral:rRNA from 1 species
UACAUAGGGUGCAAGCGUUGUCCGGAAUUAUUGGGCGUAAAGAGCUCGUAGGUUGUUUGUCGCGUCGAUUGUGAAAAUCUGAGGCUCAACCUCAGACCUGCAGUCGAUACGGGCAAACUAGAGUGUGGUAGGGGAGACUGGAAUUCCUGGUGUAGCGGUGGAAUGCGCAGAUAUCAGGAGGAACACCAAUGGCGAAGGCAGGUCUCUGGGCCAUAACUGACACUGAGGAGCGAAAGUGCGGGGAGCGAACAGGAUUAGAUACCCUGGUAGUCCGCACCGUAAACGGUGGGCACUAGUUGUGGGAACCUUCCACGGUUUCCGCGACGCAGCAAACGCAUUAAGUGCCCCGCCUGGGGAGUACGAUCGCAAGAUUAAAACUCAAAGGAAUUGACGGGGCCCCGCACAAGCAGCGGAGCAUGCGGCUUAAUUCGACGCAACGCGAAGAACCUUACCAAGGCUUGACAUAUAGCGAAAAGUGGCAGAGAUGUCAUGUCCGCAAGGGCGCUAUACAGGUGGUGCAUGGUUGUCGUCAGCUCGUGUCGUGAGAUGUUGGGUUAAGUCCCGCAACGAGCGCAACCCUCGUUCUGUGUUACCAGCAUUCAGUUGGGGACUCACAGGAGACUGCCGGGGUCAACUCGGAGGAAGGUGGGGAUGACGUCAAAUCAUCAUGCCCCUUAUGUCUUGGGCUGCACGCAUGCUACAAUGGCCGGUACAAAGUGCUGCGAGAUCGUAAGAUCGAGCGAAUCACAUAAAGCCGGUCUCAGUUCGGAUUGAGGUCUGCAACUCGACCUCAUGAAGUCGGAGUUGCUAGUAAUCGUAGAUCAGCAACGCUACGGUGAAUACGUUCCCGGGGCU